rnacentral:rRNA from 1 species
GUGGGGAAUAUUGCACAAUGGGCGAAAGCCUGAUGCAGCGACGCCGCGUGAGGGAUGACGGCCUUCGGGUUGUAAACCUCUUUCAGCAGGGACGAAGCGCAAGUGACGGUACCUGCAGAAGAAGCACCGGCUAACUACGUGCCAGCAGCCGCGGUAAUACGUAGGGUGCGAGCGUUGUCCGGAUUUAUUGGGCGUAAAGAGCUCGUAGGCGGUUUGUUGCGUCGGCUGUGAAAACCUACAGCUUAACUGUGGGCCUGCAGUCGAUACGGGCAGACUUGAGUUCGGCAGGGGAGACUGGAAUUCCUGGUGUAGCGGUGAAAUGCGCAGAUAUCAGGAGGAACACCGGUGGCGAAGGCGGGUCUCUGGGCCGAUACUGACGCUGAGGAGCGAAAGCGUGGGGAGCGAACAGGAUUAGAAACCCGGGUAGUCC